CCUCUUAUAUUCACCGACGGCAGCAAGAUAGAAGGGAAAGUCGGUGCUGCCCUAACAUGGUGUGAUCAAGGAAGAGAAUCCAGAUACUCCACGUUCCGUCUGGAACCGCACAACACAGUCUUCCAACGAGAUCUGAAGAGC